rnacentral:rRNA from 1 species
UGGUCAAGUUAUUAAGGGUGCAGGGCGGAUGCCUUGGCACUAGGAGCCGAUGAAGGACGUGAUAAGCUGCGAUAAGCUUCGGGGAGUUGCACGUAAACUUUGAUCCGAAGAUUUCCGAAUGAGGAAACUCACUUAGAGUAAUGUCUAAGUAUCAUUAAGUGAAUACAUAGCUUAAUGAGGGGAACUCAGGGAACUGAAACAUCUAAGUACCUGAAGGAAGAGAAAGAAAUUCGAUUCCGUAAGUAGCGGCGAGCGAACGCGGAUUAGCCCAAACCAAUAAAGUUUUCUUUAUUGGGGUUGCGGACAUAUCAUAACGAAGAGGUAUCGUAAUUGAAGAGGUUUGGAAAGACCCACCACAGAAGGUAAUAGUCCUGUAUGUUAAACGAGAAGACUUUAGAUAUGAUCCAGAGUACCACGGGACACGUGAAACCCUGUGGGAAGCAGGAGGGACCACCCUCCAAGGCUAAAUACUACCUAGUGACCGAUAGCGUAUAGUACCGUGAGGGAAAGGUGAAAAGAACCCCGGGAGGGGAGUGAAAUAGAACCUGAAACCCUGCACUUACAAGCUGUGGAAGCACAUUUCUUGUGUGACCGCGUACUUUUUGUAGAACGGGCCAACGAGUUACGUUAAGUAGCAAGGUUAAGCACUUAAGGUGUGGAGCCGUAGCGAAAGCGAGUUUUAACUGAGCGUUCAGUUACUUGACGUAGACCCGAAACCGGGCGACCUACCCAUGAGCAGGAUGAAGCGAAAGUAAAAUUUCGUGGAGGUCCGAACCCACGAGCGUUGAAAAGCUCGGGGAUGACUUGUGGGUAGCGGUGAAAUUCCAAUCGAGCCCGGAGAUAGCUGGUUCUCCCCGAAAUAGCUUUAGGGCUAGCCUCAAGGUGAGAGAUACGGAGGUAGAGCACUGAAUGUCCUAGGGGGUAUUGCACCUACCGAAGACUAUCAAACUCCGAAUGCCGUCAUCUUAUACUUGGGAGUCAGACUGUGGGUGAUAAGAUUCAUAGUCGAAAGGGCAACAGCCCAGAUCGUCAGCUAAGGUCCCUAAAUGUAAGUUAAGUGGUAAAGGAUGUGGGAUUGCACAGACAACCAGGAUGUUGGCUUAGAAGCAGCCACUCAUUCAAAGAGUGCGUAAUAGCUCACUGGUCGAGUGAUCCUGCGCCGAAGAUUUCCGGGGCUAAAACUUACUACCGAAGCUACGGCAUCAGUAAUGAUGGGUAGGGGAGCUUCCCAUACGGGUUGAAGCAUGACCGUAAGGACAUGUGGACAGUAUGGGAGUGAGAAUGUUGGCAUGAGUAGCGAGAUGUGGGUGAGAAUCCCACAGGCCGUAAACCCAAGGUUUCCAGGGGAAGGUUCGUCCGCCCUGGGUUAGUCGGGACCUAAGCUGAGGCCGAAAGGCGUAGGUGAUGGACAACAGGUUGAUAUUCCUGUACUACCGAUAACCGUUUGAGAGAAGGGAUGACACAGUAGGAUAAGCUAAGCACACUGUUGGUUAUGUGUGCCCAAGCAUUGAGGCAGUCAAAGUAGGCAAAUCCGCUUUGAUAAUGCUGGGAUGUGAUGGGGAGCGAAAUUUAGUAGCGAAGUAGCUGAUUUCACACUGUCAAGAAAAGUCUCUAUCGAGGUUAAAGGUACCCGUACCGCAAACCGACACAGGUGGGUGAGGAGAGUAUCCUAAGGCCAGCGAGAGAACUGUUGUUAAGGAACUCGGCAAAAUGACCCCGUAACUUAGGGAUAAGGGGUGCCACCAUCAGGUGGCCGCAGAGAAUAGGCCCAAGCGACUGUUUACCAAAAACAUAGGUUUCUGCUAAGUCGCAAGACGAUGUAUAGGAGCUGACGCCUGCCCGGUGCUGGAAGGUUAAGGGGAUCUGUUAGAG